rnacentral:lncRNA from 1 species
ACAGGAGAAAGUCUGGAAGAGAUUCGGAGAGUAGUCGAUCACUAUAGAAAGUCGGCUGAUAGUGAAGCCUAGAGAGCCUUUGGAGCAGUCCGAUAGACGACUGAAGGAGCUCAUUAUUGGAGAAGUUUGGAGGGUACGAUAGGAGUUCGUCCAUUGAAAGAAUCUGGAGGACACUGUAGAAGGUCGACUACUGGAGGAGUCCGGAUAGUAUCGUGGAAGCUCGGACAGUCGGGGUAGUUCAGAAAAACAUCGCAUAAGGUCGGAAGCCGGAAGAGUCC